rnacentral:misc_RNA from 1 species
UGGCAAUACAGCAGCAAACAGGAAGUAUGAAGCUUGCCUUCCAGAUGAAUACAGAAAACCAAAGCCAGAUGCCUCUAUAGAGGAGCGAUCUGAAUUCAUUAGGUAGUGCUGGCUAGUACAGGACUGACCAUAAACCUUCAUUGCACCAUUCUAAAUCAGAAUUUAUUCUCUGAAUACUCAGGAGAAAAUAUGAACAACUACAAUUUUUGAACACUAAUGAUCACAUGAUCUGCCCUUGUCGGCCCCAAAGAACUUCAUCAUCUUCCCAAGAGAGGAAGCUCUUUGACAAGCAAGCAACGAGACAGCGUAUUGGGAAUGCAUUCCGUAACAGCUGGGGAAGAAAAGAUUCUGAGUACAAGAACUCAAAAAAGAACACCUCUAU